rnacentral:lncRNA from 1 species
UAGAGAUGCAAUCAAUCUAGGAGAAAUUUAAAUAUAGCAUUGUUAGGGCAUGGAUUUUGGGGCUUUUGCCUCCGAUUGUUUUCGAGAUAAAUUGAUCUCUUGGAAACCUAAUUGGGGGUAUUCCCGACGCGUGGGACAACUCCGUUUAACGUUACGAAAAUGUUAAGUAAGAGAUCUUGUAUAUAGGGCCUAAUUUGGUUUUAUUUUGGGUUUAGGUCGCGGGAAAGGCGUUCUAAAAUCACG